rnacentral:rRNA from 1 species
UACGGAGGGGGCUAGCGUUGUUCGGAAUUACUGGGCGUAAAGCGCACGUAGGCGGCUUUGUAAGUUAGAGGUGAAAGCCCGGGGCUCAACUCCGGAAUUGCCUUUAAAACUACAUCGCUAGAAUUGUGGAGAGGUAAGUGGAAUUCCGAGUGUAGAGGUGAAAUUCGUAGAUAUUCGGAAGAACACCAGUGGCGAUGGCGACUUACUGGACACAUAUUGACGCUGAGGUGCGAAAGCGUGGGGAGCAAACAGG